rnacentral:rRNA from 1 species
CCACAUUGGGACUGAGACACGGCCCAAACUCCUACGGGAGGCAGCAGUGGGGAAUAUUGCACAAUGGGGGAAACCCUGAUGCAGCGACGCCGCGUGAGCGAAGAAGUAUUUCGGUAUGUAAAGCUCUAUCAGCAGGGAAGAUAAUGACGGUACCUGACUAAGAAGCCCCGGCUAACUACGUGCCAGCAGCCGCGGUAAUACGUAGGGGGCAAGCGUUAUCCGGAUUUACUGGGUGUAAAGGGAGCGUAGACGGCAAGGCAAGUCUGAUGUGAAAACCCAGGGCUUAACCCUGGGACUGCAUUGGAAACUGUCUGGCUCGAGUGCCGGAGAGGUAAGCGGAAUUCCUAGUGUAGCGGUGAAAUGCGUAGAUAUUAGGAAGAACACCAGUGGCGAAGGCGGCUUACUGGACGGUAACUGACGUUGAGGCUCGAAAGCGUGGGGAGCAAACAGGAUUAGAUACCCUGGUAGUCCACGCCGUAAACGAUGAAAGCGAGGUGUUGGGGAGCAAAGCUCUUCGGUGCCGC